UACGUAGGGUGCGAGCGUUGUCCGGAAUUAUUGGGCGUAAAGAGCUCGUAGGCGGUCUGUCGCGUCGAUCGUGAAAACUUGGGGCUUAACCCUGAGCUUGCGGUCGAUACGGGCAUGACUGGAGUUCGGCAGGGGAGACUGGAAUUUACGGUGUAGCGGUGAAAUGCGUAGAUAUCGUAAGGAAGACCAGUGGCGAAGGCGGGUCUCUGGACAGUUCCUGACGCUGAGGCACGAAGGCCAGGGGAGCAAACGGG
rnacentral:rRNA from 1 species